GAUUAACGCUGGCGGCGUGCAUAACACAUGCAAGUCGAACGACGUGGCGGACGGGUGAGUAACGCGUGAGUAACCUGCCUUAGAGAAGGGGAUAGCCUUUGGAAACGAAGAAUAAUACCCUAUGCUCUAAGAUUGACUUGAGUCUGAUUAGGUAGUUGGUGGGGUAACGGCUCACCAAGACAGCGGUCAGUAGCCGGCUUGAGAGAGUGUACGGCCACAUUGGGACUGAGACACGGCCCAGACUCUACGGGAGGCAGCAGUGGGGAAUUUUGCACAAUGGGGGAAACCCUGAUGCAGCGACGCCGCGUGAUUUAGAAGGCCUUCGGGUUGUAAAAAUCUUUUCUAUGGGAAGCAGUACCAUAGGAAUAAAGACCGGCUAAUUACGUGCCAGCAGCCGCGGUAAUUC
rnacentral:rRNA from 1 species